rnacentral:rRNA from 1 species
UUAGCGGCGGACGGGUCGAGUAACACGUGGGUAACCUGCCUGUAAGACUGGGAUAACUCCGGGAAACCGGGGCUAAUACCGGAUGGUUGUUUGAACCGCAUGGUUCAAACAUAAAAGGUGGCUUCGGCUACCACUUACAGAUGRACCCGCGGCGCAUUAGCUAGUUGGUGAGGUAACGGCUCACCAAGGCRACGAUGCGUAGCCGACCUGAGAGGGUGAUCGGCCACACUGGGACUGAGACACGGCCCAGACUCCUACGGGAGGCAGCAGUAGGGAAUCUUCCGCAAUGGACGAAAGUCUGACGGAGCAACGCCGCGUGAGUGAUGAAGGUUUUCGGAUCGUAAAGCUCUGUUGUUAGGGAAGAACAAGUACCGUUCGAAUAGGGCGGUACCUUGACGGUACCUAACCAGAAAGCCACGGCUAACUACGUGCCAGCAGCCGCGGUAAUACGUAGGUGGCAAGCGUUGUCCGGAAUUAUUGGGCGUAAAGGGCUCGCAGGCGGUUUCUUAAGUCUGAUGUGAAAGCCCCCGGCUCAACCGGGGAGGGUCAUUGGAAWCUGGGGAACUUGAGUGCAGAAGAGGAGAGUGGAAUUCCACGUGUAGCGGUGAAAUGCGUAGAGAUGUGGAGGAACACCAGUGGCGAAGGCGACUCUCUGGUCUGUAACUGACGCUGAGGAGCGAAAGCGUGGGGAGCGAACAGGAUUA